rnacentral:lncRNA from 1 species
CAGGGAAGCAGCUUCAGGGCCAGGUAAGAAAACUCUUCGUGGCAGCACUGUUAAUGAACAGGACACAGUGCUUUUGUGUUGGAGGCCCUACUUAGCAAGGAGCAUCAGAAAGCAAGUCAUGGCCCCUUCAGAGAGCUUGUGCAGUGACCAGUUGAGCUGUGCAGACAGUACCAGUGUUCCCAGUGCUGUGACAGAAGCAGAGCAUGUGCUGUGGGAGCCCAGAGGAGGAAGCAUCCUCUUCUUCAGGGGAUUGGAGAGAGCUUCGCAGAGGAGGGAACGUUCUAGUGGCGUAUUGAAUGAUGGAUGAACUUGCCAAGCAGCCAGUCAUGGAAUGGUAUGGGGGGAGACAGCUGUGGACAGAGCGGUACCCAUCAAGGUAUGUUUGUGACCAGCUUCUACAGGACCUUGUGUGUCUUUUUGUGAGCAGGGGGAAACUGUUGAAGAAACUUAAGGAAGGGAGGAACUUUUGUUUUGGAGGCAUUGCCCCAGGGUUAGAGAAGCUGGUGACAGAAUGCUAAUCAGAAUACUCUAGUUCCCAGGUGGCAUCUGAUGAAGCUGGGGAACUGAGUGAUAGUGCAGUUAGAGACAGAGUGCAUAUGGGACAUUCCUGAGUAGACUCCCAGGGUCUUGACAGCAAAUUGGUUAACUGGUUUAGAAGAUGAGGAAGAAAAACAUUGAGGACGACUCAUAGGUUGCCAGCUUGGAAACUGGGGACAUGCUAAUCCUGUCUUUAUCUGUGGACACAUUUUGAUGAUGGUCGUGCAGGGGAGUUGGACACCAUUGCUUGACGAUAACUUCCAUGAGGACAGUGUGCUAAUCGGUUUUCUGUUGCUAUGACAAAAUACCUAGAAAAACAAUUUAAGGAAAGAUUUAUUUGGGCUCAUGGUUUUUGAGGUUUCAGCCCAAGGUCAGUUAGCUCCA